UCCUUUAUAACAACCAGUGGAAUACGCCACUAGGGUGAAUUUGUUGGAAAAGAUGCAAGACUAAGAAAGAUGAAUGAUUUCAUCCUUUCAGGGAGGAAGAAUAUGUCUUGGUCACUAUGAUAUUGAAAGAUGAUUUAUUUAGAUUUCUCUCGGUCAUUCUUCAGUUCAGCUCUCAGCUUCUUCUGCAGUUUCAGCAUAUGGAAUGGGGAACAUCUGCAGUCUCCAGAAGAUGUGAAGGAAAUAUGUUUUAUCUUCCUAUCAUCGGUGCAUCAGCAACAGGAGCUUCUUGAUGUAAAUCUAAUCCUGAAAUACUUCCUUCCCCUCCACUUGGCAGUUCAGUUCACUGGAAGAUAACUUUGUUCAGGAAAUGUCAGGCUAAUACCAGCAGCUAUCUAGAAACACAGUGCCUGCAAUUUUGCAUGAUCAGCAUUCAUUUAAUUGAAAUGGAUGGAUGUUUGUUCAUGUUCUUACCAGAGGGAAAAGCUCUGGAAAGUUUCCCAACUCUUUUACUGAUUAAACAUUUUGGGUUCUCUCUUGCAUAGAAAUGGUUGUCAGUGAGAGCCCAAAGUCUCUGGCCAUGCAGCCUGUUGACUCAGACCCUUACCUGGUCUUGGUGUGUCAUGUAUAUGCAUUGCAAACUCCCUUUGCUAUAGCCUUUGCUGAGAAUUGAUCAUAGCAGAUUUGGGAGCUCUCUGGAGAGAAAGAGAUGGAUCAGAGACAACACCUCUCGGUGUUGUCCUUCCUUGUACAUGCCAGAUCAGAAGCAGCCGAGCCCACCAGCUGGUGCCCAUGCUCAGCUCUUCCAGCACAGCAAGGAUGCUUAGAGUUUGUCAAACUAACAUCUAACAAUGUAUAGGGAGCUCCUGUACAUUAUGGAGCUCCCCAUUUCUAAACCUGCUUUUCUCCUUGCACUGGAGAGUUGCUCCCAGGGAGUUUUAUUUUGUGACUGCAGCAAGAAAGGCCAACUCAGGCAAGCAUCGUUUGGCACACAGCAACACAGAUCCCUCUUUACACUUCCAGUUCCUAUAGCUGUACAUCUCCCACCUCCAUGGCACUUGCUGGUACUGCGGAGAAGUGGUGCUGACCCAAGAGAUCCAUUCCUGCAGAUAGGCUCUGCACUUCCAGAGCAGACCAAAACAUGAGCUGAUUCCCUUGAGAGCUCCUUUCCCACAUGCUGAGCUGUAUUUCUCCCCCAUCCAGCUCUGUAUGAGGACACCGAGGUCAUCAGGAUGAUGAUCUCCCUUUCCCAUGAAUCCUUUGUGAACCUGGGGGCAGCCCAAGCACCUGAUAUUCACGCUCUGCAGGUGAGCCCUGGCUGAUGCAGCAGAAUCUGCAUCCACAGGUUUCUGCUGAGGAGACAUUACUCUCCUGAGAAAGAGCUGGUCUUCCAGGAGAGUUCAGCAAAGCCCAAACAAUAACUUCAAAAAAAGGACACAGUACGACAGUGUAGCACAUCCCUCUGCUAUCCGUCCCUGUUCUCUGAGGCUUGCUUGUAAGGUGUUCCUGAGCUAUUCCCAAGCAUCCUUCUGGCUCUUGGAUUAAGAAAAUGGAGAUAAGUCUUAACCCAGGGUUGAGUCCUUCCAGCCCUCUGGCAGCUUUUUCGCCUCUUUUCUGAGCCUGGUCCCACUGCUCCAUAUUCUUCUCCUAAAAGGUGUCUCUGUGGGACAAGAGAGUGAGGUCCCAGCAACUUGCAGCAUGCUGUCACAGGGAUAUAAGGUACUGGACUACCCCAGAACUCUCUUCCAAAAGCUUGUAUGGCUUUUGGGACGGACUGUUUUUGGACUCUGAUCGUAUGUCUUUGCAGGGGACUGGGCAUGGUGGGGUAUAGUUGGUGUUUUUGUGGGCGCUUCAUGAUGCUUUGACUGCUGAAGACUUCCUUCUAUGCUCUGCAAAUCACAAAGGUGAUUUGCUGGCUUUGGCAUUUGUUGGGAUACUUAAUUCCCAGCAAAGAACACAGGGUCUGGGUUUUCUUACCACCACCCCUAUGCCUGUAAAAUAGUUUUGUCACUGCUGCCUGUAAGAGCUACGUAACAGACUGCAAGGGGACCAGUACUAAAGAGGUUGUAGGAUUUAUCUUUCUUAACUUCAGAUCUUUGGAAGCCUAAGAGUGACCAUUGGAGGCACAGGAGGAGAGACUGCAGCCUCCAGAGACAUGUUGUUCCACCCUAAAAUCAGCACCCCCAAGCCUAAUGAUGGAGCUGGUCACAAUCUGGAGGUUGCAGCAUCUCUGCAAUGAGUUAGACAUGGAAUUUAGCCAUCGAGCAAAGCCCAGACACUUCUGUAUUAGUAGAUGGGUGUUAUUUAACCCAGAUCUGUCAUAAAUGCCUGUUGCACAUUGCUGGGACUUGUGGGAUGUGGGGUGGCAGUCCAAGGAGGGCUGCUGUUUUCCUAUCCUUCUUAGUGUGUGGUGUCUCCUCCCAGUCUCUCACCGCCUACGAGCAUCACCAGUGUGCUCCCUUGCCAGUCCCUGCUAGAUGAGCCAUGCCGGUCUGCUGCCGAGUCCCCACCAAAGCACAAAAGUUCGUCGAAAGUCCAAGGCACAUAGCAGCUGGCUCUGCAGCAGCCAACACCCUGGGCUAGCGGGGGACCAGCCAGAGCCUACAUCCCCCAGCCCUGGCUGCUCCUCCUCUGGUGGGUGCCAGACAGCCUUGGGUUGGGCGGGCGCCUGAGAUCACUGCCUGACCUCACCAGGGCGGUGAUCUGGGCUCAGGGACCCCCGCCCCCGGCACAGCACCUGAGCCGGCUUCCACUGCCCACCCUGCAAGGCUGUGCACAGGGCUGCGGGUCAUUCACUGAUGUGCUAGGGAUGUGUCUGCAGUGGGACUGUAAAUGAGCUGUUUCUCAUUAGGGCAGUGAAAGCUCCCUUCUGGGCUGAUCCCUGUGGCCUCCAGGGAGCUCAGGAAUGCUUUUUCUCAGUUGUGCUCUCCAGCUGCCAAAGGGCGCAAGAUGAGAUGACCCUCCUCGCUCCACAUCCCUGCCCUGCCUGCAUUCUGAGCAUGCAAACACAGGGGCUGACCCUGUGCGCUGAUAAGGAGGGAGGGAUCUUUAUUUUCCUGUCAUGAGCACAGGUCCAAGGCUGGAGAAAAACUUGCCUGCCCAUCCCAUGAGGUUUUGAUGUAGGUCUGGUACACCCUCUCCUCUGGAGUGGGGACAACUGGGGAGGGCAGCUGGGUGAAAUGCAUGAGCUGGGCUUUUACCAGCCUGGGUCCUGAGCACAGACUUCUGUAUAAGACUGAGACUGAAGAAAAAUAGGUACACCUCUUAUGUGAUUUGCAAUAAAAUGCUGAUUUCAGGGACAGCACCAACAUUCCUCUUCUCCCGGCCACAGGGAUCCCAGGAAGCUGCUUUACAUUGCCCAGCAAGAAGCAGUAUCAUAAAUGAUGGGGGAGGAAGGAGAAAUGGGAGGAUCCUGCCCCUCUGGCAACACUUCUGAACAGAGAUGGCUGAGUUUGGGGAUGGAGGAAGGACAGGGAAACUUCUCAAGGUCUCCACCAGUGACGUUUGUCAUUCCUAUGCUAGAGGUUUAAUUGAGAUCCCCGUUAAGUCUUUCUCCAACAGCUUUCUGCUCAAGUGGUGUGUUACGUUAGUGCUUACAUUGUAAAUAGUAAUAAUCAUGAUAAUAAUCAAGAGGGCUGUUCAGCAAG